UGAUGUGCAUGAUGAAUAUGUGACUUUAUGGGAACCAGUGUUUUCGUGACGUUCUGAAUUUCUAACCCCUUCAGAUUUUGAUAUAUCCAUGGAACAGGCCACGAUGCUCUUGAUAUCUGAGAAUAUGCAAUGUCCUUUUGAAAAGGAAGAAACCUCCGUGCUAGUUAAAUUGUGACUACUGAUUUAUAGACCCCGUGUUUUGCUUAAGAGGUAAUGU
rnacentral:lncRNA from 1 species